GACGAACGCUGGCGGCGUGCUUAACACAUGCAAGUCGAGCGGUAAGGCCUUUCGGGGUACACGAGCGGCGAACGGGUGAGUAACACGUGGGUGAUCUGCCCUGCACUUCGGGAUAAGCCUGGGAAACUGGGUCUAAUACCGGAUAUGACCUCCUAUCGCAUGGUGGGUGGUGGAAAGAUUUAUCGGUGCAGGAUGGGCGCGCGGCCUCUCAGCUUGUUGGUGGGGUAAUGGCCUACCAAGGCGACGACGGGUAGCCGACCUGAGAGGGUGACCGGCCACACUGGGACUGAGACACGGCCCAGACUCCUACGGGAGGCAGAAGUGGGGAAUAUUGCACAAUGGGCGAAAGCCUGAUGCAGCGACGCCGCGUGAGGGAUGACGGCCUUCGGGUUGUACACCUCUUUCAGCAGGGACGAAGCGCAAGUGACGGUACCUGCAGAAGAAGCACCGGCUAACUACGUG
rnacentral:rRNA from 1 species